rnacentral:snRNA from 1 species
AGCUUUGCGCAGUGGCAGUAUCGUAGCCAAUGAGGUUUAUCCGAGGUGCAAUUAUUGCUAAUUGAAAGAAUAUCCACCAUCUUCACUCCUGGUUGAUGUUGUAAUGGAGGUGUCAGCCAAAGCGUUAGGCAUGAAAAAGGCUGGCACCCCUAAAGCCACUGAGAAGUUUCCCAUCAUUAAAGGG